rnacentral:rRNA from 1 species
AUUGAACGCUGGCGGCAUGCCUUACACAUGCAAGUCGAACGGCAGCGGACCUUCGGGUGCCGGCGAGUGGCGAACGGGUGAGUAAUAUAUCGGAACGUACCUUUCAGUGGGGGAUAACGUAGCGAAAGUUACGCUAAUACCGCAUACGUCCUGAGGGAGAAAGCGGGGGAGUCGCAAGACCUCGCGCGAUUGGAGCGGCCGAUGCCGGAUUAGCUAGUUGGUAGGGUAAAGGCCUACCAAGGCGACGAUCCGUAGCUGGUCUGAGAGGACGACCAGCCACACUGGAACUGAGACACGGUCCAGACUCCUACGGGAGGCAGCAGUGGGGAAUUUUGGACAAUGGGGGCGAACCCCUGAUCCAGCCAUUCCGCGUGAGUGAAGAAGGCC